GGGAAUGAAGAAAUAGAUGGUGUCACCUCCUUUAAUUUCCUAGAAAGAGAAAACAAGGCACUGAUGCAGCCCGCGAUGAGCAGGAAUGGGAACCUGCAAUCUCCUGGAAUCUGCAACACAUUGCUGCUCUAUCAGAAGAAGAAAUGCAAGGAAGAAGUCAGACCUUUGAGUUUCAUCUAUGUUGCACGUACAUAGUUUUAAAAAGUGGUAUCAUGCUGUUUCUGUUAUUUCACACUCUAUGGAUUUUCACGUAACAAAUAUUUGAAGGCCAUUCAUGACAAAUAUAUAUAUAUCUCCAUAAACAUCAUGAUGUUGGGGGUGGCUGUGACAGAGACUGACCACUCGGUAACCAUGUUACUUUGGGGUUGAGAUGAGUAAGAAGUAUGUGUACCUUCUCUUCCUCUUUUUCUCCUGAUGAUGAUGAAGC
rnacentral:lncRNA from 1 species